rnacentral:lncRNA from 1 species
AAAAAUCAGAAUCUAGAUAGUUAUAAAUACAUGCGUGCGAGUCCCUGCCCCCCACAAAAACAUACACACACAUUUGAAAAAAUAAAAAUAAAAAAACCAUGAAACAGCUACUCAUUCAAUGUCCUCAAAGCAGUCAAGACGCUACCUCGCAUGAUCCAAAGGAGGUGGACACAUUAAAUUAAGUGUCAAAUAGAUCUAACUUCAUUUUUCAGUCGGCAUCCAGUGUUGAGGUUUUAUACAAAAGCAGCAUCUUGUGAACAUGCACUGUUUCAUUCCAAAUAUCUUGCAUGCAACAAGCUUCAGAAUUCAGUCGUACAAUGGGAUCUGUAAUAUUUUUAGCCCCUUAUAUCUUCAGCUUUACUACCCUGUGAAACCAUUAGAAUACUCUCUUUUUCAACAAAGUGGUUGCCACAAUAAAGGCAUUUCAAACCAUUCAGUGACUUUGUUAUCAAAUAAUGCAGUUCAAUAAACCAAAUAUUCAAGGACCAGAUCCGUGAACAAAAAGAACCAAAGCAGCUUCCAUUGCCUGAGCAUUCACAUUGCUGUCAGACAAUGCAAAAAGAGAUUCACAUGGGUAAUGUGCCAGUAAAGAGCAAACCCCUAUUUGAAAACAUGACUGUGGGACUACCAAAGGAAGCAUGAUGCGAUGUGAAUGUCAAGUUUUUGAAACUGGUUGCGUACCUUU